rnacentral:rRNA from 1 species
ACGGAAGGCAGCAGUGAGGAAUAUUGGUCAAUGGACGCAAGUCUGAACCAGCCAUGCCGCGUGCAGGAAUAAGGCCCUAUGGGUCGUAAACUGCUUUUGUGGUGGAGCAAUAAGUCGUACGUGUACGGCGAUGAGAGUACAUCACGAAUAAGCAUCGGCUAACUCCGUGCCAGCAGCCGCGGUAAUACGGAGGAUGCAAGCGUUAUCCGGAUUUAUUGGGUUUAAAGGGUGCGUAGGCUGUGGUCCAAGUCAGGGGUGGAAGCCCGGAGCUCAACUCCGGAACUGCCUUUGAUACUGGAUUGCUGGAAUACGGAUGCCGUGGGAGGAAUGAGUAGUGUAGCGGUGAAAUGCAUAGAUAUUACUCAGAACACCGAUUGCGAAGGCAUCUCACGAAUCCGUCAUUGACGCUGAGGCACGAAAGCGUGGGGAUCAAACAGGAUUAGAUACCCUGGUA